rnacentral:rRNA from 1 species
UACGUAGGCGGAAUAUUAAGUCAGUGGUGAAAUCCUGCAGCUUAACUGUAGAAUUGCCACUGAUACUGAUCUUCUUGAAUUUAGUUGAGGUGGGCGGAAUGUGUAAUGUAGCGGUGAAAUGCUUAGAUAUUACACAGAACACCGAUUGCGAAGGCAGCUCACUAAACUAACAUUGACGCUAAGGUACGAAAGCGUGGGGAGCGAACAGGAUUAGAUACCCUGGUAGUCC